AGUGAACGCUGGCGGUAGGCCUAACACAUGCAAGUCGAACGGCAGCACAGUAAGAGCUUGCUCUUACGGGUGGCGAGUGGCGGACGGGUGAGGAAUACAUCGGAAUCUACUUUUUCGUGGGGGAUAACGUAGGGAAACUUACGCUAAUACCGCAUACGACCUACGGGUGAAAGCAGGGGAUCUUCGGACCUUGCGCGAUUGAAUGAGCCGAUGUCGGAUUAGCUAGUUGGCGGGGUAAAGGCCCACCAAGGCGACGAUCCGUAGCUGGUCUGAGAGGAUGAUCAGCCACACUGGAGCUGAGACACGGUCCAGACUCCUACGGGAGGCAGCAGUGGGGAAUAUUGGACAAUGGGCGAAAGCCUGAUCCAGCCAUGCCGCGUGGGUGAAGAAGGCCUUCGGGUUGUAAAGCCCUUUUGUUGGGGAAGAAAAGCAGCAGGUUAAUACCCCGCUGUUCUGACGGUACCCAAAGAAUAAGCACCGGCUAACUUCGUG
rnacentral:rRNA from 1 species